AAAGUCCACAGUCCGGCCCUAGACAGAGUCCUGCUUUCAAGAUAGAGCCUGUUCUGUUUCCUCCUUCAAUAGUUUCUUCUUAACUGCUGUUAGAAUUUGAAAUUGGUGUAUAUGUUUAUUUUCUUUCUUUCUUUUUUUUUUUUUUGAGUGUGUUCCUUCUCCAGAAUAUAAAUUAUUUGAGUGCAGGUAGACUGCACUAACUUACCAACAUCUUAACGUGCAUCUUAAGACAACAUCCAAAACAGUGGCUCAUGGUGCUUUUCCUCCUCCGAAGAAAUCUGAAGAUAAAAUUAGCCUGUCUGCUUCCACUUCUACUGUUUUUGCUAUGGAUGAAAGGAAGAAAAUAAUGCCAAACACUGUAGAUUGGUGGUGGAGGGAAUUCGCUGUUGUUUAAAGAUGUACAUUAAGACCCAUUUCAAGUCUGUACAAAUCCAAUUAUUCAUCUUCUGCAUUAUAGUCACUGUUAAUGAAAAAUUUAAGAUUGAUACUUUGGCAAAUAUUUUUUUGUUCUAUCAUUUUGAUAGACAACCAAAAGUAUAAAUGAAUUGAGAGCAAAGGUCAUGAUACCUAUAACUUCCCCAUUGGUCCAGUGGCUAAGACUGGACCACCUGGACUCAUUGCAAGGAGGCGAAGUUUGAUCCCUGAUCAGUGGGUUGCCAUGCCUUCCUCUAGGGGAUCUUCCUGACCCAGGGAUCCAAUGCAUGUCUCUUAUGUCUCCUGCACUGGGAGGCAAGUUCUUUACCACUAAUACCAUCUGGGAAGCCCCAGGGAACUAGAUCCCAUAUGCUGCAACUAAAGAUCCCCCAUGCCCAGAUGAUAACCACUCUAAUGGAAGAAAGUGAAGAAGAACUAAAGAACCUCUUGAUAACCAUGCUGACAAAGGUCCAUAUAGUCAUGGCUAUGGUCUUCCAGCAGUCAUUUAUGGUUGUGAGAGCUGGUCUGUAAAGAAGGCAGAAUGCUGAGAAUUGAUGGUUUUAAACUGUGGUGCUAGAGAAGACUCUUGAGAGUUUCUUGGACCGCAAGGAGAUCAAAGCAGUCAACCCUGAAUGUUCAUUGGAAGGACUCAUGCUGAAACUGAAGCCCCAAUACUUUGGUCAUCUGACGCAAACACCUGACUCAUUGGAAAAGACCCUGAUGCUGGGAAAGACUGAAGGCAGGAGACAAGGGUGUCAGAGGAUAUGUCUGGAUGGUGUUAUUGAUGCAAUGGACUUGAACUUGGGCAAAUUCCGGGAGAUGGUGAGGCACAGGGAGGCCUGGCUUGCUCCGUGCAGUCCACAGUGCUGCGAAGAGUUGGACACAACUGGCCGACUGAACAGCAUGCCCAACAUCCAAAACCUCAAGUGCCACAACUAAGGCCCAGGACAAAUAAAUAUUUUUAAAAAGCUGAUGACACCUGCAUGACAUUUAUCACAGUGCCAAGAACAAUGUAGACAAUAAAUGACAGAAUUGAAUUAACUAAGCCUUUCAAUGGCUCCUAGUAAUGAUUCAUUUAGCCCAUAGUGCAAAGCUUUAACAAAGCAUGGUAAUGAAACAAGUGAAUUGAGGAUGCUUUAUGAUGUUCUAUAUUUAUUUAGCUCUGUUCAUGUAAUUGUGACUUCAUCUUAUUCACUUAUCAAUUGUGUGGAUAUAUCUGGGAAUUAACG
ensembl:lncRNA